rnacentral:rRNA from 1 species
GGAGUCUGGGCCGUGUCUCAGUCCCAAUGUGGCCGUUCAUCCUCUCAGACCGGCUAUGUAUCAUCGCCUUGGUGGGCCGUUACCUCACCAACAAGCUAAUACAGCGUAAGCCCAUCCCAUAGCGGUGCAAACGCACCUUUAAUAAUAAGGAGAUGCCUCCCUAUUACCUAUGCGGUAUUAAUAGUCGUUUCCAACUGCUGUCCCCCACCAAAAGGUAUGUUCCCACGUGUUACUCACCAGUGCGCUGCUCUCAUUAUCCAAUAGCAAGCUAUCAAAUAAAUCCCGCUCAACUUGCAUGUGUUAAGCCUGCCGCCAGCGUUCGUUCUGAGCCACUGAUCAAACUACU